AUGAAAAAGACAUGACAUUGACUCCUGGGUGUUGAACUUUUGCCCACUCUAUAGCCACCCUGGUUAUUAUAUGACCCUGAUGGUCAUCUACGCAGGUGAGACGUACCCAGAAAUGUCAACGUCAUGUCAAGUGCUCAGAUCUGUACAGCAGCCCCAUAUAAUCACGUACAGUUGCUCCAACAUACAAGAAUGUGUUUACAAGACAGUGAUGAAAACAGUUUAUAUGAGCGCUAAUUCAGACAUAGAAUUUAUAUAUAUAUUUUGAUACCCUUACCCAUUCAAAACUGUUGUUACAAAAUCACUUCUCAUUGUGUUCAUUUCAAGGUUUCACAAACAGAAAACAUGUAGUGAUGUUUCUCGGACUAACACACUGAUGAGUUUCCAGUGUAGCCUAGUGGUUAGAGUGUUGGACUAAUAACCACAAGGUUGCAAGUUCAAAUCCCCGAGUUGACAAGGUACAAAUCUGUCGUUCUGCCCCUGAACAGGCAGUUAACCCACUGUUCCCAGGCCGUCAUUGAAAAUAAGAAUGUGUUCUUAACUGACUUGCCUGGUUAAAUAAAGGUAAAAUUAAAAAAAUAUUAUUUUUUUUUACUAAAGAACAAUCAUUAAGUCAAAACACAAACAAUUAUAAUGUAAUUUGUAUACUUGUCAUUCUAUACUGAAAACAGGUACAUUCUGAAAGAUUUUGUUGUUGUUGAUGUGAUAACACAUGUUUUGUUUAUGUCUCAAUUUAGGAUAAUACUGUUUAUAUUUUUUAUUUUACUUAAAUUGUAAUAUUUUUGUUGUCUCAUACCAUGCUAAUACACUAACAGGCAAUGCAAACAGAUGUGGAAUUAACCCCCCCAAAACAAUUGUGUGUCUUUAUGGAUCAAUAAUUGAUCAAAAAUACUAAUAGGCAGGAUCAGAUCCUCUUUCCUAUUCAGGCAUCAUAUAAUACACAGCCACAUGCAAAUCCAUCAACUCCACCAAUGAAACUUUGAAAACCUUAACAUGACUGCUGGCAAUGUCAUUAUUUUUGUCACCAUCCAUCAAUGGUUGAAUUGUGUUAUUGUUCUUUGUACUGAGCUUCCAAUGGCUGGAGCCAAUCGACAAUCGGUAAUUGAAAAAUACCCAAAUAAAACGCAUGAAAAGCU